rnacentral:rRNA from 1 species
AUUGAACGCUGGCGGCAGGCCUAACACAUGCAAGUCGAAUGGUAACAGGAAACAGCUUGCUGUUUCGCUGACGAGUGGCGGACGGGUGAGUAAUGUCUGGGAAACUGCCUGAUGGAGGGGGAUAACUACUGGAAACGGUAGCUAAUACCGCAUAACGUCGCAAGACCAAAGAGGGGGACCUUCGGGCCUCUUGCCAUCAGAUGUGCCCAGAUGGGAUUAGCUAGUAGGUGGGGUAACGGCUCACCUAGGCGACGAUCCCUAGCUGGUCUGAGAGGAUGACCAGCCACACUGGAACUGAGACACGGUCCAGACUCCUACGGGAGGCAGCAGUGGGGAAUAUUGCACAAUGGGCGCAAGCCUGAUGCAGCCAUGCCGCGUGGAUGAAGAAGGCCUUCGGGUUGUAAAGGACUUUCAGCGGGGAGGAAGGGAGUAAAGUUAAUACCUUUGCUCAUUGACGUUACCCGCAGAAGAAGCACCGGCUAACUCCGUG